rnacentral:piRNA from 1 species
UACAGAGCAAAAUCAGCCAAGGCUCAGG